GGAGGGAUGGCCGAGCGGUCGAAGGCGGGUGAUUUGAAAUCACCUGGCGGGUUAGUCGCCCGCCCCUGGGUUCGAAUCCCAGUCCCUCCGCCA
rnacentral:tRNA from 1 species